UACGUAGGGGGCAAGCGUUGUCCGGAUUUAUUGGGCGUAAAGAGCGUGUAGGCGGCCUGGAAGGUCAGCUGUGAAAACUCGAGGCUCAACCUCGAGACGUCGGUUGAAACCACCUGGCUAGAGUCCGGAAGAGGAGAGUGGAAUUCCUGGUGUAGCGGUGAAAUGCGCAGAUAUCAGGAAGAACACCAGUGGCGAAGGCGGCUCACUGGCCCGAAACUGACGCUGAGGCACGAAAGCGUGGGGAGCAAACAGG
rnacentral:rRNA from 1 species